CCUACGGGAGGCAGCAGUGGGGAAUAUUGCACAAUGGGGGCAACCCUGAUGCAGCGACGCCGCGUGCGUGAAGACGGAUUUCUGUAUUUAAAGCUCUAUUUGCAGGGGAGAAAAUCACGGUACCUGACUCGGGAUCAAAGGCUAACUACGUUCCAGCAGCCGCGGUAAUACGUCGGGGGCAAGCGUUAUCCGGAUUUACUGGGUGUAAAGGGAGCGUAGACGGUUCAUCAAGUCAGAAGUGAAAACCCAGGGCUCAACCUCGGGACUGCUUCUGAAACUGAGGAGCUAGAGUGCAGGAGCGGUAAGCGGAAUGUCUAGUGUAGCGGUGAAAUGCGUAGAGAUUAUGAGGAACACCAGUGGCGAAGGCAGCUUACUGGACUGCAACUGACGUUGAGGCUCGAAAGCGUGGGGAGCAAACAGGAUUAGAUACCCGGGUAGUC
rnacentral:rRNA from 1 species